rnacentral:rRNA from 1 species
GGUUGUGAUCAUACCAGCAGUAACGCACCGGAUCCCAUCAAAACUUCAAAGUUAAGCAUGCUUGGGAGAGAGUAGUACUAGGAUGGGUGACCCCCUGGGAAGUCCUUGUGUUGCAUCCC